rnacentral:rRNA from 1 species
AGAAUCAACGCUGGCGGCGUGCCUCAGACAUGCAAGUCGAACGAUUAAAGCUCCCUUCGGGGAGUGCAUAAAGUGGCGCACGGGUGAGUAACACGUAAGUAAUCUACCUUCGAGUGGGGAAUAACGUUCGGAAACGGAAGCUAAUACCGCAUAAUGCAGCGGCAUCGCAAGAUGACAGUUGUUAAAGAUUUAUCGCUUGAAGAGGAGCUUGCGGCAGAUUAGCUAGUUGGUAAGGUAAUGGCUUACCAAGGCUACGAUCUGUAACCGGUCUAAGAGGACGGUCGGUCACACUGACACUGAAUAACGGGUCAGACUCCUACGGGAGGCAGCAGUCGGGAAUUUUGGGCAAUGGGCGAAAGCCUGACCCAGCAACGCCGCGUGAAGGAUGAAGUAUUUCGGUAUGUAAACUUCGAAAGAAUGGGAAGAAUCAAUGACGGUACCAUUUAUAAGGUCCGGCUAACUACGUGCCAGCAGCCGC